rnacentral:lncRNA from 1 species
UGUCCCCAGUGGCUUCAGUGGAACGUCCUCUUGGGGAUAUUGGGCACAUAGCUUGCUUGCUGAGAGAGGUCAGUGCUGCUGGGGCUCUGGGGUCAGGCAGGUGCACUGAGCUUGGCUCUCCCCACAGGGCUCGGGGCUGUAACUGCAGUCUUGCAGGAUCCCCGGCAGCAGUGGUAGGAGUGUGAAGUUCCUCUCUUGGAGUCUGGCUCAUACCCCAUACGCAUCUAUCCGUCUGGAUUGUAGAAGACAGCCUUGCUCACUUUAGCCCUGGGGCUAUAAAAAAAUUAAGUCUGCAUUAAGGAAAAUAGAAAGUGACCUAGUGAUGAUGUAUUUGGAAGCUAUGGAGUCCUGACUAUGUUCUGGACACUCUUAGAAAAGCAUGAAGGAGGCUGCCCGUCCCUGUUGGAUGUGACAGCACCGUGUGGGUGUGUCAGAGCUGAACUCUUGUCUUCGGCCCCCGUGUCUCUCCCAGCCACUCACUCGCCAGGCUUCCAGGGCCAGCUGUCUCAGUAUUCCUUGUUCAGAGUUUUACCUCCUGGGCUGGAUUACAGGUUCCUCGGGAGAGGCUAGACUUCCUAUGUGUUGUCUGUAAUCCUCAGCACAAGACUAAACAUGCAGUUGCACUUGGUAAGCACUUGUGAAUAAAGGAAACAGAGAGGCAGAAUAUUUGCGGAUC